UAACACACUAAACUGUAAUUAACUCCUAUUUAAAUUAUUCAUUGCAUCUUAAAAUCAAUUAACCCCUCCCAUUCUACGUAUUCCACUAUGGUCAUACAUCAUAUUAGCAAAGGAAAACCAGCAGAAAAAAAACGAAAUAAUAAAUCUUCAGAAAGAAAAUUCACGAAUCCACUCAAAACACCAUGACGGUCAUGUAAAAAUUGAAUCUAUAUUGAAAACAGUCUUGAACAUACACAAGGCAGAAAAAAACAACAUCAAGAAAACAAACAAAAGAUCACGACUAUCAAAGGUCAUGAAUUUGGUCAUAUAUGGAGAUAACGAUCACUGCAUAUGUAGCGGUUGCGACUUAUGAACAAAAGACGAGAAACAUUACCAACUUUGAAGUUCUGAAGAUCUUCAAGUCCGCCGUGACCUUCUGUAUUUCGGCAAGGGUUUUAUCCCGCGAGCGAUCUUGUCGAUGAGGUGAGCUGCUUUCCGUCUACUCGUCUAUAACUCCUCGAAUCUCAUGGGUUUUUUGGACGAUUUCUCGUCAUGAUAAGGUUGGAGCUUGAGGUCUCCUGUCUCAAUGUUUCAAUUGGUGAACCUUGAACGAGUUUUUUUCAUAGAGCUUUAACGAGUGCCUCUGACUUCUUUUCUGCAAAAUAACGGUCUGAUUCUGACUUUCCUCUCUAUUUGCUCGCCGUUUCCGUUCGCACGUGGUUGAGGAGUCGAGCUCUUCAAACUCUGAUUCUCAGUGUGAAAAUCAGAGUCGAAGUACAGUUUUUAGUGGAGCUUUUUGGUGCAAGGUUCAUGUGGGGAUUCCAGCAGCGUGACGGUUGUACGCAUGUUGGCUUGGCAAUGUGAUUAGAGAGCGAUUUGAAAACCCGGGAAUGGCUUCAACGCCGACAUGAUAUCACUCCGCACAUACUACGGAAUCACUAUUACGGUGAACGGUCGACACUACGUUUUGGAAAGAAACUCAAUGCCGUUACAACUGACUAGGAUGCUGCAAAGAGAGGCAUGGUCUGCUGAAUGAGCCAAAAUGGGGUCACUCGAAAAAUCUACAGGCUGCUUUAAGGCCACGUGAGCUAGCUCUAGUGGUUGCUGACUCACCAACAUAUAUAAAACCUGGUCGAAAGCCGGAGGCGCAUGUAUACCAAGCAGAUGUUCAUACCGAAGGUUUUAACUUGUCUAUGCCUCAAGCUUCCAACAAAUGCUCAACGUUCCUUGCCAACAUUGAUGAAUAUGAAGCAGCAACUGUGACCUUUCAUGGUCAAACAUACAUUAUACCACCAUGGUUUGUGAGCCUAUUGCCAGAUUGUAGGAGUAUGGUUUUCAAUACUGCUAAGGUUAAAGCAUAAACUUCAAUCAAAAUUGUAGGAUCUGAUUUGCUGCCAUCUGCAUUUAUUUUGUUGCCAGCCUAACAAUCGGUACACCGCGAUGGCAUCUCCACCAUCUCAAAGUCUUGGAUGACCAGGGAAGAGCCAAAUGAAUAUAUGGAGUAAGAGCAUUUUCACUGUAGAUGAUAUAUGGAAGCACUUAAAUGUAACAAAAGAUCAGUCUGACGAUCUUUGGUACUCAACCAGAAUAUAUGUUUCAGAUGGUGAUGUCCUUUGUUAGUCAUUGGGUCAAAGUAGUCCGGACUCUUUGAUUACAACCGGGCUACAAAUUAACACUGUUAACUCAAUUAGUAUGUUUGCGCUAAGUCAAAGUGAUUAGCUUUCAUUUGUCUGAGCUCCAAACAUUUGUAUUUCUUUUGAGCUCAAUUUCAAACUAUCAUAACUGGAUUAGAAACUUGAAUGCUACAUGUAAUUUUCUUUUUUAUUGCAUGUUUCAAUUAUUCGUCUUGUGAUUUUGCUGUA